GGGCGCAUAGCUCAGUUGGUUAGAGCGCAGCCCUGAUAAGGCUGAGGUCGAUGGUUCGAAUCCAUCUGCGCCCA
rnacentral:tRNA from 1 species